rnacentral:rRNA from 1 species
GACGGGGGGGGCAAGCGUUGUUCGGAAUUAUUGGGCGUAAAGCGCGCGCAGGCGGUUCUUUAAGUCUGAUGUGAAAGCCCACGGCUCAACCGUGGAGGGUCAUUGGAAACUGGGGAACUUGAGUACAGAAGAGGAAAGCGGAAUUCCACGUGUAGCGGUGAAAUGCGUAGAGAUGUGGAGGAACACCAGUGGCGAAGGCGGCUUUCUGGUCUGUAACUGACGCUGAGGCGCGAAAGCGUGGGGAGCAAACAGG